CUUCCCCUUUUAUCACUUUUUAUCCUAAUAAUAGAUUUUAGUGGUGACGCUUAUGGGAUAGAUACAAUUGUCAUGAUCUGAAAAGGGAGGUUUUAUUCAUUCAUUUAUUUGUUUGUUUUGGAAUCCUCAUUCUAUACGAAGUAUUUGGACAGAAAUUU